UCUGCGAGGCCUGUCUAUUCAUCUCACGCGCAAGAAAAUCCCCCUCAUUUUCCCUGAUUCCCCACUUUUCUUCCCGUCGCCGGAGCUGCGUCUCCGUCCCCCUCCCUCCACCGGCGCUGCCCCUGCUAAACCCCCUCCCUGUUAUGCGCCUUCUUCUCCUUCCUAAGACAUGUGGCUUUCCUCUUCGGCUGCAGCGGUCCCAUGGAGGAGAUCAUGCCGAUGGGGAGCACAAGGAGGACACAACUGAGCUGGAUGUGGAGACAGGGAGGCGGCGGGGAUGGGGAUAUGGUCAGUGGCACAAAGAGUUGGGGAGGUGGUGCCCGCAGAGAUGUCCCGAUCUUCCUAGAGCACCACGCCUCCGACGGCGGCAUUCUUCAGAUUGGCCCCGUCUGGGUUCAUCUCCGGCCGCCGCGUCCAGCGUCAACAAGCCUAGAUUUCGUGUUUUCUCUCUCUAGCGAGUAUACAUACAGAGGAAGGGUUUCCACGUUUGCCCUGGUGGUGGAGGGCGUCCGAGGGGGACGGCACAAAAAGUGCAGAGCCGUCAGGCCGUGUGGUGCGCUAUGGCUAAUGGUGGGUGCUGGAAGGACACAAGGCACGACAAGACCUCUGUCUGCCUAGAUUCAGAUGGUAUUUUGCUUGUUUUGUUCAGUAUGUGGAAUAUAUUUGUGUAACCUUACCCGACCUAAUUUUUUGAGUAUAUUAGAUGGUAUUCUGAUGUCCUUUUGCUCAUUAUCUCUCUAUACUUGAUUUUGAUGUUUAUUUCAGAAUUUUUAUAAGUAUUCGGUCUGUAAAUAUAGGUAUCCGUAUGAUGGCUGGAUGCUCAUAAUUCACUGUCUGCCUUACAGGUACAUGGUAUUAUACAAUGACUAUAGACAAAGAAUGGUCGGGCUGGCAUGCAACUGAUGGUUUUGCAACUCAGCCUUAGUGCCAAAGAAAGUGUCAUUUCGAAGCAUAUGUUGUGUUAACACAGGAGAAGUAAUCUCAUGGAAUUAAUUGCCUCACUUUUUGUUGGAUUUGGUCGCAUUGUAAGCAAUCUGACUAAACUCAUUAGCGCAUGUUCCUAUUGGACUCCAAUCUCAUAUAUAUUCUUUUUCAGAGUUGGCUAACUACACUCAAGAAGAUAUUCUAGCUGAUGUGUUCUUUUUUGUCACAACGAUGGGCAAUCUUUGGUAUUUAUUAUCGGAAAUUCAAUUCGGCCCCCGGGUGCGCAUGCUCACUCUACCAAAAAAUCAUAUUUCGAAAUGUCGAAAAAUUUGGAUAAAAAAUUCUACAUGUACAUCUCCAUAAUAUACGUGUGUUCAUCAAGUUUCACGAAAAAUCAAUAUUUUGUGUGGUCUAUAUAAAAAAGAGAAAUUUUGUCUUGUGAAAAGCAUUAUUUUUAGCAUGGAAUUUUGUCUUUUUUACACACGUCACAUGAUAAGUUGAUUUUUUAUGAAACGACUUUGUGAGCACGUAGCACGUGAAGAUGUACGUGCGAACUUUUAGUUUCAAUUUUUAAAAAAAAUUUAUAAUGUAUGUAAGAUGCAUUUCGAAAUAUAGGGAGCAUAUGCACCCAUAUUCCAAAACACCGCUCCCAUUUAUUAUCCUUUUGUUUGGCUCUGGUUCUUACCUGUUUUUUCUUUGCAUUUGUGAACAAGGGGCACUCUUACUUGUGAGAAGAUGGGUUAUGAUUUCUGCGAUGUCAUCAUUUCAUUAACAAAUUUAUUGAUCUGGUCCGGCUGGCUGAUCUGCUUCGCGGGCAUUGGUUGGAUUGGUCUUGGUUGAUCUGGUCCAACGGCAUCUGGAUUCUAUUUGAUCUUGUGCGUUUUUCUGGUCUGGAUUUGCUCUCUUAAGUUUUUUAUUCAUCUUCUAUGGGUCCCUUCUUUCAUUUUCGCAUACUUAGUUUGCCGCUUGGUCCAUGCUGUGGUUUAUAGACUAUUUUUUUAAUCUAAACUAGAGUUUGUUUCCAUUUACCGGUGUUAAUUAGAUUUCAUUGUGGUUGUAGUUCCUGUAGUUAAACAAAGUUAUUGUUAUUCCUCUACAUGCUUUCGUGGUUUAGGGCCAGCGUCUUGGAAGGAAAGAAAUAAUAUUGUGAUAUUUCUCUAACCGAUUGAUGUUCCCGUGGCUAAAUAAAUUUAUGUUAUCCCUGUACAUGCUUAAUGCCUUAGGUCUAUCUUGCUAGGGAAGAAAUGAAAGAACAUUAUUUAUCUGUUCAUGAGUAUCAUUAUGAUGUCAAAGAAAUGACCACUUGCGCCCUCAAAGAAAGAACAUUGUUUAUCUUCCUAGGUAAAUGCAUUUUUUGUUCAGCUGAAAACAAAUUGCUAACUGCAAAGAAAAGUAUCAUCACACUUCAAUAGAGGAGGAUAAAUGUAAAUUUUAACCAUCCAGGCCAGCUUCAGUGCAGUUGUCUGCUAUUGUGUGUUUUUAAAUUGAUUUACUCCCCCACUUUCCUUUGCCGACUUAAACUGUAUUUUUAAUUUCCAAUCACUGAAGCUGCAGCCUUUUAAGUUAUAGGUUUUAGGCCGCUGCAGGAAAUCCAGUAAGCCCCUCUAAACCCCUCUGAAGUUCAUGUAAUCUGAUCUUGUAGUGAGGUCAUGGUGGUAUCCAUGAUGAGUGUCGCCUCAAUUCACUACAUGUUUUGAAGGAUCACAUAGACAAUAUUUAUAAUGUGCUUGCUAGCUAUAAAGUUGUUAGGGACGCCUAUAUACUUUGUCCACUAGGAAAUUGGCAAUUCAUUAACUGCUCCGUGCUUUUUAUUCUUAUAUUGAGCUGUAGGUUCAUGAUUGUUGCUGAGGGUGCCCACACUUCAGCCAUUGGCUCUCAUAGCGUGGCUAUCAUCACGUCUCAGUACAUGCAGUUCAUGAAAGAUUACAGGAACCCUCCAUGCUGAUGCAAAUAUGCAAUACAUCACCUUUCAUUGAUACUUCAGGCCUAGCGCUGCUGUCCUUCGUUUGCUCCGUCGUCUGUGUGUGGGCCUUUUGUUGGUGUACACCACUAGCUCAAUGUGUGCUAAUUAGUUUAGGCAUCGUUUCAACCUUGUAUGUAAAGCUACCCUGUUUUCUUGUAGCAUUGUUGUAAACAAGUUUUGUCAAGUUAUAGAUUAUGAAUAAUCGAUCAGAAACCACGUGUAAAAGUAAUUGGUGAGAGAAGAAAGACAUGUUGGUAUGCGAUUGUAUGCCUGAGAUCA